CCUUAAUUCUCCUCUGUUCUUCAAUAAGACACUGCUAUAGUCAUUGUGUAGAGGCCAGUCCCAUGUUCCUAUGCCUCUGGCCACCAACCAACAACAUUGUGUCCUAUCCUGAGGCUACAUUCUGUCAAGACCAGUACAGCACUGAGUUUUUGCCAAGUACACCUUAUGGAUUAUGAUGUUUUCCUGCAAGUUUGACCCCUUUAUCAUUAUGCAAUGCCCCAUUCUACCUCUGUGAAGCUGACUUGAACCAAGAUUAAUGUAACUACUCCAGCUCUCCUUUGGCUCCUCAGCUGCUGUUACACCCUUCUUGGAUGG
rnacentral:lncRNA from 1 species